rnacentral:tmRNA from 1 species
AAACUUUUAGUUGCCAACGAUGACAACUACGGUUCGGACUUCGCUAUCGCCGCUUAAUUGGCUUUAGUUGUCGUUCUACAGCCGCCUAAGGCGAACCCCCGAACCUACUUGUGCCCGUGCUCGUAGGUGUAGGGUCAUUAUCACGGAACCAUCGGUAGUGGCUGCCUGUCAGCUACCGGUUAGAUAAAGCAGGCUGGUUUUCAGGUGCGCUUUGCCAACCGUGCUGCCUGGGAAUGAGAUCUAACGGAGGGCUAAGCAUGUAGUGCUGGGGAUGGAGUGCUUCCGGACG